rnacentral:rRNA from 1 species
AGCGAACGCUGGCGGCAGGCCUAACACAUGCAAGUCGAACGAACCUUUCGGGGUUAGUGGCGGACGGGUGAGUAACACGUGGGAACGUGCCUUUAGGUUCGGAAUAACUCAGGGAAACUUGUGCUAAUACCGAAUGUGCCCUUCGGGGGAAAGAUUUAUCGCCUUUAGAGCGGCCCGCGUCUGAUUAGCUAGUUGGUUGAGGUAAUGGCUCACCAAGGCGACGAUCAGUAGCUGGUCGGAGAGGAUGAUCAGCCACAUUGGGACUGAGACACGGCCCAAACUCCGACGGGAGGCAGCAGUGGGGAAUCUUGCGCAAUGGGCGAAAGCCUGACGCAGCCAUGCCGCGUGAAUGAUGAAGGUCUUAGGAUUGUAAAAUUCUUUCACCGGGGACGAUAAUGACGGUACCCGGAGAAGAAGCCCCGGCUAACUUCGUG